rnacentral:lncRNA from 1 species
CAUUUAUUAUCAAGCAAAGCCGUCCCAUGCAAACCUACCACUUGUUAUCUCGACCAUACAUUGCCGAAUGUGCGAUUAUUUUCAUUUCGUUUGUUUCACAAAAAAAAAACAGUAUCAACUACGUUUGAACACAAAAACAUUUAUUAGAACAAUGUACAUAAAUUUGACGUGACGGUGACUAAACCUACCAAAUCUGUUUUUGAUAUUGGAC